GCCGCAGUAGUUUAGGUUUAAAAUAUUAGAUUGCAAGUCUAGAGAAGGAGGUGGGUCCCUGCGGUU
rnacentral:tRNA from 1 species